GCACAGCCCACUGCCCUGAGGACUUCUUAAGAGGCUGCUCACACCCUGUGCAGGAGUCAGUCCCUGUCAGGACACAGCAUGGCCAUGAGGGCCUCUGCUCAGCUCCUGGGGCUCCUGCUGCUCUGCCUCCCAGGUAAGGAGGGACAGCACUGAGAAUGUACUCAAUGCACUGUGGUCAGUGCUACCUGCCUCUGCCCAGAAGUCCUCAUAAGGCAUGUCUAAUUGUGUGCAUCUUUGUUUUAUUUUCUUGUUUCCAAUAUCAGAUGCCAGAUGUGACAUCCAGAUGACUCAAUCUCCAUCCUCCCUAUCUAAAUCUGUAGGAGACAGAGUCACCAUCACUUGCCGGGCAAGUCAGGGCAUUAAAAAUUACUUACAGUGGUACCAGCAGAAACCAGGGCAAGCUCCUAAGCUCCUAAUUCAUUGGGCAACUAGUAUGGGAUAUGGAGUCUCAUCGAGGUUCAGUGGCAGUGGAUAUGACAAAGAUUUCACUCUCACCAUCAGCGGCCUGGAGCCUGAAGAUGUUGCCACUUAUUACUGUCUACAAGGCUACAGUUCCCCUCCCACAGUGAUAUGGGCCAUGACAAAAACCUCCCAG
rnacentral:lncRNA from 1 species